GCAAAUGAUGAGAUUGACUAUAAGAAUAGGAAUUGCCGUCUGAACGAUAAUUGACGACGAAAGGGUCUCUGAUG